UCAGAAUCCAAAUCCAAAUGAACAUUGAAGAAAAUCUCAUGCCCUAAGCUGUUCACACUGUGAUGUUGAUGGUUUGAUGAACCAGAAGGGAUUAAGAGAGGGAGAGAAAUAAGUUCUUCUCAUUUUUGAAGAGAAUGAAAAAUCCCCUUAGA